CCAGGAAAGGGGGAAGAUAAAGAAUACCCGACUAUCGGGGCACGAAUGAUCCGACUAGAAGAUAAGGUCCAUAAGAUGGACCAGAAAAUGGACUCAGUCCUGCGGAUCCUGAAGGAGCAGUUCCCACCCAAGCCAGAGUCCAAACCCUCCAUCCGUAGGGUGACCAUCCAGAAACGCAUGGGUGCCAGCAUCGACGAAGGGCCCUGAUGUCACAGAGACCUUCACAUUGGGACAAUUAACGGAGCAGGAGUUCACAUAAACAGCCUCCUAUGUGUGGGGCGGUUUACAAAUAGUAAGGGGACUCAGUCUUCCGAAACCCCU
ensembl:lncRNA